CCCUUAGAUGUUCUGGGCCGCACGCGUGCUACACUGAGUGGAUCAGCGGGUCAGGUUGCGCGAAAGCGUUUCCUAAUCUUUAAAUCCGCUCGUGAUGGGGAUUGACGGUUGCAAUUUUCUGUCAUGAACGAGGAAUACCUUGUAAGCGCGGGUCAUCAUCCCGCGCUGAAUACGUCCCUGCCCUUUGUACACACCGCCCGUCGCUCCUACCGAUUGAGUGGUCCGGUGAGGCUUCGGGAGAGCUAAAUGGAUUGUGUUUCACAAACUAUUUGGCUUGAACUUAGUCAAACCUUACUACUUAGAGGAAGGAGAAGUCGUAACA
rnacentral:rRNA from 1 species